AGUCGAGCGGAGAUGAGGUGCUUGCACCUUAUCUUAGCGGCGGACGGGUGAGUAAUGCUUAGGAAUCUACCUAUUAGUGGGGGACAACAUUCCGAAAGGAAUGCUAAUACCGCAUACGUCCUACGGGAGAAAGCAGGGGAUCUUCGGACCUUGCGCUAAUAGAUGAGCCUAAGUCGGAUUAGCUAGUUGGUGGGGUAAAGGCCUACCAAGGCGACGAUCUGUAGCGGGUCUGAGAGGAUGAUCCGCCACACUGGGACUGAGACACGGCCCAGACUCCUACGGGAGGCAGCAGUGGGGAAUAUUGGACAAUGGGGGGAACCCUGAUCCAGCCAUGCCGCGUGUGUGAAGAAGGCCUUAUGGUUGUAAAGCACUUUAAGCGAGGAGGAGGCUACUGAGACUAAUACUCUUGGAUAGUGGACGUUACUCGCAGAAUAGGCACCGGCUAACUCUGUGCCAGCAGCCGCGGUAAUACAGAGGGUGCGAGCGUUAAUCGGAUUUACUGGGCGUAAAGCGUGCGUAGGCGGCUUUUUAAGUCGGAUGUGAAAUCCCCGAGCUUAACUUGGGAAUUGCAUUCGAUACUGGGAAGCUAGAGUAUGGGAGAGGAUGGUAGAAU
rnacentral:rRNA from 1 species